rnacentral:tRNA from 1 species
GGGGGAUUAGCUCAGUUGGUAGAGCGCUACUUUUGCAAAGUAGAUGUCAGGAGUUCGAAUCUCCUAUCCUCCACCA